rnacentral:rRNA from 1 species
AUUGAACGCUGGCGGCAGGCUUAACACAUGCAAGUCGAGCGGAGAUGAGGUGCUUGCACCUUAUCUUAGCGGCGGACGGGUGAGUAAUGCUUAGAAAUCUGCCUAUUAGUGGGGGACAACAUUCCGAAAGGAAUGCUAAUACCGCAUACGCCCUACGGGGGAAAGCAGGGGAUCUUCGGACCUUGCGCUAAUAGAUGAGCCUAAGUCGGAUUAGCUAGUUGGUGGGGUAAAGGCCUACCAAGGCGACGAUCUGUAGCGGGUCUGAGAGGAUGAUCCGCCACACUGGGACUGAGACACGGCCCGGACUCCUACGGGAGGCAGCAGUGGGGAAUAUUGGACAAUGGGCGGAAGCCUGAUCCAGCCAUGCCGCGUGUGUGAAGAAGGCCUUUUGGUUGUAAAGCACUUUAAGCGAGGAGGAGGCUACCUGGAUUAAUACUCUAGGAUAGUGGACGUUACUCGCAGAAUAAGCACCGGCUAACUCUGUGCCAGCAGCCGCAGUAAUAC